GAUGAACGCUAGCGGCAGGCUUAAUACAUGCAAGUCGAGGGGCAUCAAGGUACACGAAAGUGUAUUGUUGGCGACCGGCGGACGGGUGAGUAAUAGGUAGGUAACCUACCUCAUACUGAGGCAUAGCUGGGAGAAAUUCCAGGUAAUUCCUCAUGAGGUUAUAUGACACAUGUGAUAUAAUCAAAGGUAUCGCAAGGUACUGGUAUGAGAUGGGCUUACUGACCAUUAGCUAGUUGGUGAGAUAAGAGCUCACCAAGGCGAAGAUGGUUAGGGGUUUUGAGAGAGAGAUCCCCCACAUUGGAACUGAGAUACGGUCCAGACUCCUACGGGAGGCAGCAGUAGGGAAUAUUGGGCAAUGGGCGGAAGCCUGACCCAGCCAUGCCGCGUGAAGGAAGACGGGCCUUAUGGGUUGUAAACUUCUUUACUAUGCGACUAACUAGAUUUACGAGAUAAUUCUAUAGAAUGUAGCAUAGCAAAAAGCACCGGA
rnacentral:rRNA from 1 species